rnacentral:rRNA from 1 species
UACAGAGGGGGCAAGCGUUAUUCGGAAUUAUUGGGCGUAAAGGGCGUGUAGGCGGUUUGUUAAGUCAUGUGUGAAAUCCCUCGGCUCAACCGGGGAACGACGCAUGAAACUGGCAAGCUAGAGUACCAAAGAGGGGGGUGGAAUUCCUGGUGUAGCGGUGAAAUGCGCAGAUAUCAGGAGGAACACCGGUGGCGAAGGCGGGUCUCUGGGCCGAUACUGACGCUGAGGAGCGAAAGCGUGGGGAGCGAACAGG